GAAUGAACUCUAAUGUAAGCUAUGGAUUUGGGGUCAUAAAUGUGUAUAAAUGUAGGUUUGUUGAUUGUAACAAAUGUACCACUCUCUUGUAUGAGGCUGAUAGUCGGGGAGGCUAUGUGUGUGUGUCAGGGGGUGCAGAGUAUAGAUGGGAACACCCUCUACUUUGUACUCAAUUUUGCUGUGAACCUAAAACUUCUCUGAAAGAUAAAUUUUAUUUUGAAAAACACUAUGAUACACUAAAACUUCUUUUGUCCUUAUUUGGUAAUACUUAGAAAUAUAAUUUUAUUAAGAUUAUAUUUAAAAGUAGAGUCAAAAGAUAUGCAUGUUUUAGUGAAAUAUCUUCUAUUGUUAUUACUAUCAUCAUAGUUAUUAUUAUUUGACUUAGAAAUCCUCAGUAGACAUUAUGAAAUUAGAGAUCAGUAAUGUUCUAGUUGAAAAAGACAUAUACUUGAUAAAAUUGCUUCUUAUUCUUUUGGCGUUACUGUGGUUAAGAGUCUUGUGCUGUAAUGAUCUCAGUUAAAAAUAGUAAAAAGAAUCUCUUGAAUAUUGUGGUGGACUCUGCACAGUUCAUGCAACAAGAGGCAUGGUUACCUGCCCAUAUAGCUUUGUUUGUAUCAGCCAGUUGAAAUGUCAACAUGGUUCCUUAUCCACUGAAUAAUUUCACAACCCUCCUCUUAAUUUGGUUGCUUUGGACACAUUCUAUCCUGGAAACAAAAUCUAGGCUUCAUAAUACAUUCGGAAAUAAUAGAUUCAUGUUCUUUUUUUCCAGCUGGUACUGGUAGAGUUUACACAUUUACUCCUGCACCAUAGGAACAGCUGCUUAAAAAGCUGAAGUGUGUAUUUGAUUCCAUUACAUUGGCACAAUAGAAAGUCAUGUAAAAGAGGGAGACUCUCUCAGCUUCUCCAUAUUUGGAAAAUUAAUUCUUUUAAGUGCUUUAAAAAAAAUCUCUACAGGUGGUCAGACUCUAUGAACUUAGGACCAGAAAUGACCUCAUCACCUUCAGCUGGUCUAAAGUUGUCUUUGGCUGCUGCACACUUCACAAAAUCUUGUUAAUUAUGAUUGUUUUUCCUAGUUAUAAGUCCUUCUGGAUACAUUUUUAUAGCAUUUAUUUUUAUCGCUUACAUAACUACAUAAAAUAUUUUCAUUGGUGUCAAAAUGUCAUGUUAUUGCCAAAUAGAUUCCAUUUCAAUUUCUAGAAAUUAUUGGAAAGUUAAUACCCACAUUUUAAUGGCACCCUUGCUGUGGUAUUAAAUCAUGUUUUAUUGAAAUUCACAAGAAUCAAAAUUACGCUGCGUUUAUCCAGAAUAAAGCACUAGAACAGUUACUUUUUGGCCGUCUUGCCCAUUAAUUUCUAUGCUUGCACUUUCUCUUUAGACAAACAAUGAAUGAAAUUUAGUGUCUUUCUAGAAUUGAAUUCUCAUGAAAGUGAUUGUCAUAUACACACUCAUCAUCUACUUCUCUUUUCAGC
rnacentral:lncRNA from 1 species